rnacentral:rRNA from 1 species
GGCGACCGGCGCACGGGUGCGUAACGCGUAUGCAACCUACCCAUUACAGGGGGAUAACACUGAGAAAUCGGUACUAAUACCCCAUAACAUCCAGGGAGGCAUCUUCUUGGGUUGAAAACUCCGGUGGUAAUGGAUGGGCAUGCGUUGUAUUAGUUAGUUGGUGGGGUAACGGCUCACCAAGACCACGAUACAUAGGGGGACUGAGAGGUUAACCCCCCACAUUGGUACUGAGACACGGACCAAACUCCUACGGGAGGCAGCAGUGAGGAAUAUUGGUCAAUGGACGCAAGUCUGAACCAGCCAUGCCGCGUGCAGGAAGACGGCUCUAUGAGUUGUAAACUGCUUUUGUACGAGGGUAAACGCAGAUACGCGUAUCUGUCUGAAAGUAUCGUACGAAUAAGGAUCGGCUAACUCCGUGCCAGCAGCCGCGGUAAUACGUAGGUGGCAAGCGUUAUCCGGAUUUACUGGGUGUAAAGGGCGUGUAGGCGGGAAAGCAAGUCAGAUGUGAAAACCAUAGGCUCAACCUGUGGCCUGCAUUUGAAACUGUUUUUCUUGAGUACUGGAGAGGCAGACGGAAUUCCUCGUGUAGCGGUGAAAUGCGUAGAUAUGAGGAGGAACACCAGUGGCGAAGGCGGUCUGCUGGACAGCAACUGACGCUGAGGCGCGAAAGCGUGGGGAGCAAACAGGAUUAGAUACCCUGGUAGUCCACGCUGUAAACGAUGGAUACUAGG